rnacentral:rRNA from 1 species
UACAGAGGGGGCAAGCGUUGUUCGGAAUUACUGGGCGUAAAGGGCGCGUAGGCGGCCGCCUAAGUCAGACGUGAAAUCCCUCGGCUCAACCGGGGAACUGCGUCUGAUACUGGGUGGCUUGAAUCCGGGAGAGGGAUGCGGAAUUCCAGGUGUAGCGGUGAAAUGCGUAGAUAUCGGGAGGAAGGCCGGUGGCGAAGGCGGCGCUCUGGAACAUUUCUGACGCUGAGGCUCGAAAGCGUGGGGAGCAAACAGG